UACGUAGGGUGCGAGCGUUGUCCGGAAUUAUUGGGCGUAAAGGGCUCGUAGGCGGUUUGUCGCGUCGGGAGUGAAAACCCCAGGGCUUAACCCUGGGCUGGCUUCCGAUAGCGGGCAGACUAGAGGUAGCAGGGGAGAACGGAAUUCCUGGUGUAGCGGUGAAAUGCGCAGAUAUCAGGAGGAACACCGGUGGCGAAGGCGGUUCUCUGGGCCUUACCUGACGCUGAGGAGCGAAAGCGUGGGGAGCAAACAGG
rnacentral:rRNA from 1 species